rnacentral:lncRNA from 1 species
CCCGAAACUCAGGGUGAGCCUGGCUCCACACAGGUUAGUGUCAGGCAGGACACAGCUAGUGCCUGCCACCAGGAAGCCAGGGUGCAAUGUGACUGUAAUGUUAACAUUUAACUUUUCACAGUUGGCCCAAACUCCACUUUCCUAGAAAGAGUCCUAGCCAAGCAGAUGUGCCUGAAGGCGGCAUGUGAGCAUGAGAAGCCACCAGACCUCAUAAGUGCUUCUCCAGAGCCACCACUGCAAAAAGCUGCCCAGGGACACAGGUGCUGCGAUACCCACUGCACAGACUGAAACAGGACAAAAGGUGCAAGGCUGCCAGCGCGCCCCUCCACACUCCCUCCUGC